rnacentral:rRNA from 1 species
GAAUCCCGUCUUUGGCACGGAAACCCCAGGGCUUUUGUGAUGCGCUCUCGAAGAGUCGAGUUGUUUGGGAAUGCAGCUCAAAAUGGGUGGUGAACUCCAUCUAAAGCUAAAUAUUGGCGAGGGACCGAUAGCGAACAAGUACCGUGAGGGAAAGAUGAAAAGCACUUUGGAAAGAGAGUGAAACAGUACGUGAAAUUGUUGAAAGGGAAACGCUUGAAGUCAGUCGCGUCGACCGAGACUCAGCCUUGCCCUUGGCUUGGUGUACUUCUCGGCUGACGGGUCAGCAUCAAUUUUGCCCCUUGGAUAAUGGCGAGGGAAAUGUGACACCUUUACGGUGUGUUAUAGUCUCUUGUCGCAUGCAAGGGUUGGGAUUGAGGAACUCAGCACGCACCUUUGGGUGUCGGGGCUUUGCCCACGAUACGUGCUUAGGAUGUUGGCGUAAUGGCUUUAAACGACCCGUCUUGAAACACGGACCAAGGAGUCUAACAUGCCUGCGAGUGUUCGGGUGGAAAACUCGUGCGCGCAAUGAAAGUGAAAGUUGGGACCUCUGUCGUGGAGGGCACCGACGCCCGGACCAGACCUUCUGUGACGGCUCUGCGGUAAAGCAUGUAUGUUAGGACCCGAAAGAUGGUGGACUAUGCCUGAAUAGGGUGAAGCCAGAGGAAACUCUGGUGGAGGCUCGUAGCGAUUCUGACGUGCAAAUCGAUCGUCAAAUUUGGGUAUAGGGGCGAAAGACUAAUCGAACCAUCUAGUAGCUGGUUCCUGCC